rnacentral:rRNA from 1 species
UACGUAGGGUGCAAGCGUUGUCCGGAAUUAUUGGGCGUAAAGGGCUCGUAGGCGGUUUGUCGCGUCGGGAGUGAAAACUCAGGGCUUAACCCUGAGCCUGCUUCCGAUACGGGCAGACUAGAGGUAUGCAGGGGAGAACGGAAUUCCUGGUGUAGCGGUGAAAUGCGCAGAUAUCAGGAGGAACACCGGUGGCGAAGGCGAGUCUCUGGACAUUUCCUGACGCUGAGGCACGAAAGCCAGGGGAGCAAACGGG